UCGUCGUAUGUACUGCCGGCCUCGGUGACGGCCUCCAGAGCCGUCUGAGUAGCGGCGGCGUUCAUGGCGGCGAUCUUGUCGGCGGUGACGCC
rnacentral:tRNA from 1 species